UGGGGAAUAUUGCACAAUGGGCGCAAGCCUGAUGCAGCCAUGCCGCGUGUGUGAAGAAGGCCUUCGGGUUGUAAAGCACUUUCAGCAAGGAGGAAGGUGGUGAGCUUAAUACGCUCAUCAAUUGACGUUACUCGCAGAAGAAGCACCGGCUAACUCCGUGCCAGCAGCCGCGGUAAUACGGAGGGUGCAAGCGUUAAUCGGAAUUACUGGGCGUAAAGCGCACGCAGGCGGUUUGUUAAGUCAGAUGUGAAAAUCCCCGGGCUCAACCUGGGAACUGCAUUUGAAACUGGCAAGCUAGAGUCUCGUAGAGGGGGGUAGAAUUCCAGGUGUAGCGGUGAAAUGCGUAGAGAUCUGGAGGAAUACCGGUGGCGAAGGCGGCCCCCUGGACGAAGACUGACGCUCAGGUGCGAAAGCGUGGGGAGCAAAACAGGAUUAGAUACCCUGGUAGUCCACGCUGUAAAACGAUGUCGAUUUUGGAGGUUGUGCCCCUUGAGGCGUGGCUUCCGGAGCUAACGCGUUAAAUCGACCGCCUGGGGAGUACGG
rnacentral:rRNA from 1 species